rnacentral:rRNA from 1 species
GAUGAACGCUGGCGGCGUGCCUAACACAUGCAAGUUGAACGGAAACUAGGCGCUUCGGAGACUUCGGUCAAUGUUUGUUUAGUUUUAGUGGCGGACGGGUGAGUAACGCGUGGAUAACCUGCCUCAUACAGGGGGAUAACAGUUAGAAAUGACUGCUAAUACCGCAUAAGCGCACGGGAUCGCAUGAUCCAGUGUGAAAAACUCCGGUGGUAUGAGAUGGAUCCGCGUCUGAUUAGCUAGUUGGCGGGGUAACAGCCCACCAAGGCGACGAUCAGUAGCCGGCCUGAGAGGGUGAACGGCCACAUUGGGACUGAGACACGGCCCAAACUCCUACGGGAGGCAGCAGUGGGGGAUAUUGCACAAUGGGGGAAACCCUGAUGCAGCGACGCCGCGUGAGUGAAGAAGUAUUUCGGUAUGUAAAGCUCUAUCAGCAGGGAAGAUAAUGACGUACCGA